rnacentral:misc_RNA from 1 species
GAGCGCUUCCCGUGACUACGGGAAGGUCAGCAGAUCCGGUGUAAUUCCGGGGCCGACGGUUAAAGUCCGGAUGGGAGAGAGUAACG